AUCUUUGCGCAGUGGCAGUAUCGUAGCCUAUGAGGUUUAACCGAGGCGCGAUUAUUGCUAGUUGAAAACUUUACCCAAUACCCCGCCUUGACGACUUGAAAUAUAGUCGGCAAUGGCAAUUUUUGACGGUCUCUACGGAGG
ensembl:snRNA U4 U4 spliceosomal RNA